rnacentral:lncRNA from 1 species
CCGGGUCUGCACCCCGCGCCGCGCCGCUGUGCUGUCCGUCCUUCAAGGACAAGGACAAGGUUUUUCUCCGUGACGCUGCUGUCCCUUGCGCAUUCGCCUGGCCGCGGCGUCCCUGGCGCGCGCCCGAGGAAGCCUCGCGGGAGUGGGCUGAGCAAGGGCUCGGUGCUGCUAGCUCCUGGGCUGCUUCCGUGCUGGGAACAAGCCGGGGCACGCUCAGGCGGAGGGCGGGGUUCCGCGGAGCCCGGGUGCCACAGGAACCGAGGAUCGAACUCACAUCCUUGCGCUUGCCCAGCAGGCUGCUGAGCUAAAUCCCCGGUCCUCUGCUACAUUUGUAUACGACCAUCAGCUCAGUAGGUUUUAUACCAGCAUUGCUAUGAACACAUGAUGCCUUGUUUUAUAACCCUAUCACAGCUAUGACGACACUGGUGAUAGGAAUUCUCAGCUCCAUUACAAUCUAAAGGACCACCAUUGUAUAAGGAAAGAAUACUUUGAAGUAAUAAUAACCUCUAGUUGAAGAUCUAAACUUUCAGAACGAGGCUGUAGAAAUUCAAGGAACAUACACUCUAUUUUAUUUUACCUCUAUCUCUGAACACGUCCCUGAUGUAAUCAUCUAGCUGUAUAAUCAGCUAGAUGGGAAAGGAGAAGCAGCU